ACGCAUGGGAGAGGGGAACCCUUUACUACCAUGGCAUACAAGAUGAGGCUUCUUUAAAAAAUAAGUCGACAAGCUUUUACUCCCAACACAGAUGGAGAACUCUGGUUUAUUGAAGAGGCCGGCCUCUGCUGAACCUCCUCACGGAAUGAUGUGGUUCACUGUCUCCUACUCCUCUGGAUGCCCGGGUUCUCCUUUGAUCAGAUAUGCCUUGCCGCUGCAGCCCAUUUGUCUUUUCUUGGAGGAGCCACACAAGACUCUCAUUUAUUCCCUCGCAAUCAGCUAUUGCCAUCGCACAGAGAUGUACAGCGUGUAACAGCAUUACUACACCAGAAGCAUCGUAUGCUCAGGCCCGGGCCAGACCGGGCUAGGGACUGGACUGGCAGGCUUGUCUGUGACACAGUUGAUC
ensembl:lncRNA